UUGUGCUUCUUUUUCUUCUGAUGUAGAGGUAUGAAGUCCCAUUCUCUUUGUUGGGUAAAAGCUGCUGGGUUCUCCUGGAAAUCAGGUUACAACCACUGUGUGAGUCAGCUUCCAGGUAUGUUUGUCAGGACUACUGAACCUUGCUUGUGUGUCCCAAGGAGACUUCUGCUUCCAGAUGGCUAUGUUGGAGAAACCUUGGGCACCGUUAUGUGUGCAGCAGUCCUGUCUGCAACAGAGUUACAGCUGAUUGAGCUGCAGCAGUGAUAGUUCGCUCUGCAAGCUACCUGCAAGCACUGCUGGCCAAUGAGCAGCUCCUACUAUGGCUUGCACCCUCCAAGCAAGCUUUGGUGAAGAAAACUAGAGAAAGGAAGAAGGAAUUGGGAACAACUGUAAUAAAUACAGUUUAUUACAGGAAGACAGACUCGGGAGUCCUCUGAAUGUUUUCUUUCAGAAAUAAGCCAAAAAUGCAUCCUGGCCAAACCUUAGCUUCCUGAAAAUUUGACAGAAUUAAUUUCUUCUCUGUAAUAUAGACUAUCCUUUUGGAAAAAUAACUGGAGUUUUACUAACCCAUGCAGAAUAGAUUGUCCAGUUUUCCUAUGACUGCUGCCAUAAGUCCUAGCCUAAUUAUAGGUAUGAAGUGUAGGCAAGUGUAAUUAUGAUGCAGACAGAUUUAUGUGUCCCCUGACAGGUUUUCAAAUAACAAAAGAAUAUAAAUAUUGGAUGUAUGGUAAGAAAAUAUCCAUUAUUAAAAUCAAUCCACAAGCUUGUACCAUAAAAAAAGCUCUCUUCUUUAACACAGCUGUCAGCCCCACUGAGAUUUUAAAUUGGAGUUUGUCUAGUGUAACUCUCUAUUUAAAAAGAAAAAUCAGAAGUAUUAAACUUUUAUCUUAGGUUUUUAAAAUACAGGAAGCUAAUAUAAUUGCUGUACCAAUACAGAGUUAUGAGCUUUUUAGGUUCUUCAGUUUUUUGCAAAGAAUGGUUACAUCUUUUGAUUCAUGUAGUAAGUCUUUUCCCUGUAUAAAUUUGCCAUAUACUUUCUCUUCAGGAAAAAAAAGUCCCAACAACUCCAUCCCUUCCCCUUCUCUGGACCAUUUGAUGUGGCUUUUUGGUUUGUAACUUUCACUUGAGAGUUGGCUGUAUUUCAGUUACUAGUCACUGCGCAGACUUUCUGUGUGAAUUAGUGGAGUGUACGUGGCAUCUGGAGAUCUAAGGAAUUGAAAAGUAUGGUUCAAAUGUCAGACUACAACUUGAAAGGUUUCUGGAGAUGCGGAGCCAGGUCUGUGGCCUGACUGAGGCAGUGCCCAUGCUAAACUCAACAGAAAAAGCCACUGGGUAACAAAAUUAUGUCCCCUGUUGGACCCGUGGCAUGUGCAACAUGGCUUCCAGUUUCAGCAUAAAAAAAAGUAGUUUACAGGGUGACACAAAUUCCCAAGCCUGUGAGAACAAGGGCUGGAUAUGUUACCUCUGUCAGUGGUGCUUAAGAGAAACUAAGAACU